rnacentral:rRNA from 2 species
AGCGGCGGACGGGUGAGUAACACGUGGGCAACCUGCCUGUAAGACUGGGAUAACUCCGGGAAACCGGAGCUAAUACCGGAUAACAUUUUCUCUUGCAUAAGAGAAAAUUGAAAGAUGGUUUCGGCUAUCACUUACAGAUGGGCCCGCGGUGCAUUAGCUAGUUGGUGAGGUAACGGCUCACCAAGGCAACGAUGCAUAGCCGACCUGAGAGGGUGAUCGGCCACACUGGGACUGAGACACGGCCCAGACUCCUACGGGAGGCAGCAGUAGGGAAUCUUCCGCAAUGGACGAAAGUCUGACGGAGCAACGCCGCGUGAGUGAUGAAGGCUUUCGGGUCGUAAAACUCUGUUGUUAGGGAAGAACAAGUACAAGAGUAACUGCUUGUACCUUGACGGUACCUAACCAGAAAGCCACGGCUAACUACGUGCCAGCAGCCGCGGUAAUACGUAGGUGGCAAGCGUUAUCCGGAAUUAUUGGGCGUAAAGCGCGCGCAGGCGGUUUCUUAAGUCUGAUGUGAAAGCCCACGGCUCAACCGUGGAGGGUCAUUGGAAACUGGGGAACUUGAGUGCA